rnacentral:rRNA from 1 species
AGCGAACGCUGGCGGCAGGCCUAACACAUGCAAGUCGAACGAACCUUUCGGGGUUAGUGGCGGACGGGUGAGUAACACGUGGGAACGUGCCUUUAGGUUCGGAAUAACUCAGGGAAACUUGUGCUAAUACCGAAUGUGCCCUUCGGGGGAAAGAUUAAUUGCCUUUAGUGCGGCCCGCGUCUGAUUAGCUAGUUGGUUGAGGUAAUGGCUCACCAAGGCGACGAUCAGUAGCUGGUCUGAGAGGAUGAUCAGCGACAUUGGGACUGAGACACGGCCCAAACUCCUACGGGAGGCAGGAGUGGGGAAUCUUGCGCAAUGGGCGAAAGCCUGACGCAGCCAUGCCGCGUGAAUGAUGAAGGUCUUAGGAUUGUAAAAUUCUUUCAACGGGGACGAUAAUGACGGUACCCGGAGAAGAAGCCCCGGCUAACUUCGUG